UUGGUGAAAUACAGGGGUAGCGUGGCGUGUUAUCCACCGUGGGAUUUGACGUGGUCCAAUUGCACCUGAUGCAUGCAAUACGGAGGCCAAAUUUAGCCCACAGUGAAUCCAGAUGCAGCACCAAUAGAGCCGGCAGCUGAGAAAAAGAAGCCUGCUGUCCAAGAAAUAGAAUAAAGGAGGAACAAAGUCUUUCUAAAAAUAAAGGGGG
rnacentral:lncRNA from 1 species